rnacentral:rRNA from 1 species
GCGGAGGGAUCAUUACACAAAUAUGAAGGCGGGCUGGAACCUCUCGGGGUUACAGCCUUGCUGAAUUAUUCACCCUUGUCUUUUGCGUACUUCUUGUUUCCUUGGUGGGUUCGCCCACCACUAGGACAAACAUAAACCUUUUGUAAUUGCAAUCAGCGUCAGUAACAAAUUAAUAAUUACAACUUUCAACAACGGAUCUCUUGGUUCUGGCAUCGAUGAAGAACGCAGCGAAAUGCGAUAAGUAGUGUGAAUUGCAGAAUUCAGUGAAUCAUCGAAUCUUUGAACGCACAUUGCGCCCUUUGGUAUUCCAAAGGGCAUGCCUGUUCGAGCGUCAUUUGUACCCUCAAGCUUUGCUUGGUGUUGGGCGUCUUGUCUCUAGCUUUGCUGGAGACUCGCCUUAAAGUAAUUGGCAGCCGGCCUACUGGUUUCGGAGCGCAGCACAAGUCGCACUCUCUAUCAGCAAAGGUCUAGCAUCCAUUAAGCCUUUUUUUCAACUUU